rnacentral:rRNA from 1 species
GACGAACGCUGGCGGCGUGCUUAACACAUGCAAGUCGAACGGUAAGGCCCUUCGGGGUACACGAGUGGCGAACGGGUGAGUAACACGUGGGUGAUCUGCCCUGCACUUCGGGAUAAGCCUGGGAAACUGGGUCUAAUACCGGAGAGGACCACUGCCUGCUAGGGUGGUGGUGGAAAGCUUUUGCGGUGUGGGGUGGGCCCGCGGCCUAUCAGCUUGUUGGUGGGGUGAUGGCCUACCAAGGCGACGACGGGUAGCCGGCCUGAGAGGGUGACCGGCCACACUGGGACUGAGAUACGGCCCAGACUCCUACGGGAGGCAGCAGUGGGGAAUAUUGCACAAUGGGCGCAAGCCUGAUGCAGCGACGCCGCGUGAGGGAUGACGGCCUUCGGGUUGUAAACCUCUUUCAGCACCGACGAAGCGCAAGUGGCGGUAGGUGCAGAAGAAGGACCGGCCAACUACGUGCCAGCAGCCGCCGUAA